GACGAACGCUGGCGGCGUGCCUAAUACAUGCAAGUAGAACGCAGUUGCGAACGGGUGAGUAACGCGUAGGUAACUGCCUGGUAGCGGGGGAUAACUAUUGGAAACGAUAGCUAAUACCGCAUACUACCAGAUGGACCUGCGUUGUAUUAGCUAGUUGGUGGGGUAACGGCUCACCAAGGCAACGAUACAUAGCCGACCUGAGAGGGUGAUCGGCCAAACCGGGACUGGGAAAAGGCCCAGACUCCUACGGGAAGCAGCAGUAGGGAAUCUUCGGCAAUGGACGGCAGUCUGAACGAGCAACGCCGCGGGAGUGAAGAAGGUUUUCGGAUCGUAAAGCUAUGUUGUAAGAGAAGCGGUAUCUUACCAGAAAGGGACGGCUAACUACGUGCCAGACGCCGCGGUAAUUC
rnacentral:rRNA from 1 species